AUGACUUUCAUCUCCUUCAUCAUCUGGAUGCUCUACAGCCUGCAAGGUUGUUUUGGACAAAUUGUGGUGACUCAGUCUGAGGUUAAAUCAGUCAAGCCUGGUCAAUCCAUCUCUAUUGAGUGUAAAGUCAAUACUGUGGUUUUUAAAAAUGAUCAGGGCACCUACUCUAAAGGCCGAUAUUUUAUAUCUUGGUACAACCAAAUACCUGAAGAGGCUCCCAGACUCUUGAUUUAUUAUACAAAUGAAAAAAAUUCAGGAAUUCCAUCUCGAUUCAGUGGCAGUGGACGAGGAAAUGGUCUUGACUUCACUUUGAGCAUCAGUGAAGCUCAGCUUGAGGAUGCAGUAGAUUAUUACUGUCAGAGUUACCAUGUAAUCAGUGGUAAAGCAGUGUUCACACAGUGA